GUGGAGGCGAAGUAAACACUCCCCGACAGCGUAGGUCUGUCCAGAACCCGCCUCCGUCUUCACCCAAACACUGAAUGGCUGAGAUUUCCACUUCCGGGUUUCUGCUGGGGAGCUAUGGCGGCUGCAGAGGGCCGAAAGGUGUCUGCGCGCAUCUGCUCCCUGGCGCCCUCUCGAGGAGCCCCUGAGGAUUCGUGCCUCCCAGAGGUGGGGAAAGCCCGCCCGAGGCGCCGGUGCUGACGGUGGCGGGGCUGCCGGGCACGCUGUGGAACUGCCUCCCGCUAGAGCUGCGGGCUGGCGACGGUCCCGUGGGGGCGGGAAGCGGCUCAGGGUGCCCUCGCCGGCCUGCGGCGGCGCGUCUGGGAGCGCAGGCCACUCGUGCGCGGGUCACUCGGGGCUGUGCCUCGCGCGACUGUGUGUGCAGGAAACAAGGAGGAAAUACCCUAAAAUGGAAUGAAGCGCCAUGUUGAGGGCCGCGGAUGUCGCGAGUGCUGUGGGAAUGUGGGCUGAGGUGGAGAGUUAUGGUGGAGGAAGCUAGUCCUGUCUGAUGGAGGAAACAGGGCAGAGGCGUGGAGGGAGACGCACAGUGCUGGUGUGAGGAGCCGCGAGCAGGCCAGGCCUGUAAAGCAGCGUGAUGGGAACCAGGAUAGAGAAGGCAAGUCGGGGUCCUGUGGUCGCUGAAGAAUUUGAAUGAAAUCAGUAAACAGGUGAGAGGGAUCCAUCGCAAGAGCAUGGGAUGAAACGAGCAGUAGUCCACGGUGAUUCCUCUGCAGCGGCGGCAAAGCGCUCCAAGUGUCCACUUGCAG
rnacentral:lncRNA from 1 species